rnacentral:rRNA from 1 species
GAUGGACGCUGGCGGCGUGCCUAAUACAUGCAAGUCGAGCGAACGGACGAGAAGCUUGCUUCUCUGAUGUUAGCGGCGGACGGGUGAGUAACACGUGGAUAACCUACCUAUAAGACUGGGAUAACUUCGGGAAACCGGAGCUAAUACCGGAUAAUAUUUUGAACCGCAUGGUUCAAAAGUGAAAGACGGUCUUGCUGUCACUUAUAGAUGGAUCCGCGCUGCAUUAGCUAGUUGGUAAGGUAACGGCUUACCAAGGCAACGAUGCAUAGCCGACCUGAGAGGGUGAUCGGCCACACUGGAACUGAGACACGGUCCAGACUCCUACGGGAGGCAGCAGUAGGGAAUCUUCCGCAAUGGGCGAAAGCCUGACGGAGCAACGCCGCGUGAGUGAUGAAGGUCUUCGGAUCGUAAAACUCUGUUAUUAGGAAAGAACAUAUGUGUAAGUAACUGUGCACAUCUUGACGGUACCUAAUCAGAAAGCCACGGCUAACUACGUG